AUACAUGCAAGUCGAGCGAACAGAUAAGGAGCUUGCUCCUUUGACGUUAGCGGCGGACGGGUGAGUAACACGUGGGUAACCUACCUAUAAGACUGGGAUAACUUCGGGAAACCGGAGCUAAUACCGGAUAACAUUUGGAACCGCAUGGUUCUAAAGUGAAAGAUGGUUUUGCUAUCACUUAUAGAUGGACCCGCGCCGUAUUAGCUAGUUGGUAAGGUAACGGCUUACCAAGGCGACGAUACGUAGCCGACCUGAGAGGGUGAUCGGCCACACUGGAACUGAGACACGGUCCAGACUCCUACGGGAGGCAGCAGUAGGGAAUCUUCCGCAAUGGGCGAAAGCCUGACGGAGCAACGCCGCGUGAGUGAUGAAGGGUUUCGGCUCGUAAAACUCUGUUAUUAGGGAAGAACAAACGUGUAAGUAACUGUGCACGUCUUGACGGUACCUAAUCAGAA
rnacentral:rRNA from 1 species